CAAGACCUUGCGCUUUUGGAGCGGCCGAUGUCUGAUUAGCUAGUUAGUGAGGUAAAGGCUUACCAAGGCUUCGAUCAGUAGCUGGUCUGAGAGGACGACCAGCCACACUGGGACUGAGACACGGCCCAGACUCCUACGGGAGGCAGCAGUGGGGAAUUUUGGACAAUGGGGGCAACCCUGAUCCAGCCAUGCCGCGUGAGUGAAGAAGGCCUUCGGGUUGUAAAGCUCUUUCAGCCGGAACGAAAAGGUUACGGUUAAUACCCGUGACUAAUGACGGUACCGGAAGAAGAAGCACCGGCUAACUACGUGCCAGCAGCCGCGGUAAUACGUAGGGUGCGAGCGUUAAUCGGAAUUACUGGGCGUAAAGCGUGCGCAGGCGGUUUUUGUAAGUCAGAUGUGAAAUCCCCGGGCUUAACCUGGGAACU
rnacentral:rRNA from 1 species